ensembl:lncRNA
CUUUAGAUCAGAAUGAGGAUGUCUUGGUGAUUUGAAUCAAAACCGCAAAAACAGACUGUACUUGUCCACUCGCCUUCUCAUCUCUGAAAGUCUCUAUGAGUCUUUCCUAUUACGAGAACGUCUGUAAAUAUUACCUUCUUACAGCAACUGAACAAUGUGUCAGGAUCAAAACAAGAGAGAGGAACUUUAUGGAUUGAGCUCAGCUAUAAGAAAAAGAAAACAGGACAGAGUGAGCCAGCAGGGACAUAUAAGAGAAAUGUUUGACUUGAAGAACACGAUGUGUUUUCCCAAAGAGGUUUAUGGAAGGAAGCUUCAGUCGCAUACUCAUGUAAGUCUGAGUACAUUUACUCAUUUAUUAAAUUUACUGCUCUUCAUUUCAUCACCUCAUUAUUGGAUCAAACAUCACACGCAUGCCUGCUAAAAAGAACAUCUUAAUUUUAUUAUUAGAUAUCAAACUUAAUUAUUUAAGUAAACUAGCUCAAUACUUUGUGGUCUAACCAAUGAAAUGAGAAAGAAAACUAAGCUGUUGUUAUAUCUGUUAUUGAUUAAUUAAAGUCUAGUCAUGACAGACAGAUGGUUUUCAGAUACAGUAAGUCAGAAUCAUGUUUAAUAUUAAUUAAGGUGAAAAUUCAGUAGAAGGUCAGAGGUCUUGAAUAUAUUGAAGUAAAUAUGAGAAAUAUAUAUGAAUAUCUUGUGGUUAAGCAUAGGAGUUUAUGAUACUCUGUUGAAAAAUACAUUUUUCAACCUAAUUUCAGAAAUAUUUAAAUGCAGUAUAGACCCAGACACACACACACACACACACACACACACACACACACACAUAUAAAAAUAACAUCACCCCACCACACACAACAUCGCAUUGUGAGGCCAGUGUAGGCAAGAUAUGGGCUUGAUUAAUACACGGGUUUGUUCAUGGGUUGCAUGUUGGCUAUUUGAAUUAGCCCCAGCUGGUUAUGUCCUUUAUAAUCAGGUAAGUUUGAUGAAUUCUGAAUGAAAUUCUAUUUGGACAAACAUGUUAGACUUCUCAGCAAUGAAGAUCUAAGGUAGUUUGUUGCUUGUUUUUGCUUUUGGCUAUUGCUUUACUAAUUAUAACAUAUUUAGGGAUGAGUUUAGAAUUGACAGAAUAAUGAUCCAGCAUCCAACAUAUUAUAAGGAAAACAAAUAUUAAUAAAUAAAUAUUAAUUUACCUAAAAAAAACA